GGCACUCUCCUACCCCUCCCCACUGGGGAACAGCUCCAUCUGAUCCAGCUGUCCCUCUUCCUUUCUCCAGAAAUGAAAGGAGAGCCUGUGCAGAAGGAAGCAUUUCCCAGAGGAAGCAGUGCUUCCAUGCCAGCCUCUGCUGCAGGAAGGGAGGCGAUGCCAGGCACAGGCACAGGAGAUUGGGAUCGUGACUUGCAUCAUUUGGAAAUGCUGGUAAACCAUGGUUUAAGGAUCUUGGAGCUUGAUGAUGCUGAAGUUGAUGAAGAUGAUGCUGUUGAUGAAGAUGAUCGGGAUUCCCAGCCCAUACCCAUUACUGAGCCUCUGGGAGAUGCUGAGGGUGUGUCUGCAGGGAGGACUUCUCCUGCUCCUUUGCUGAUCCCUACACAGAAGCCUGGCUCCCAUCGCAGAGGUCCCCUGAGAAUGGAGAACAAACUUAGAGGAGACACUAAGUCCUGGAGGCAUCCAAACACAUGGAGGAGAUGCCGAGUGAUCUGGAGAGACGCCAUGAUGAGGUGUCUGGGAAGGCUUCUCCAUCAGCUUGGAUGAAUAAAGUUUUGAAGCCCUUGGAGCCUCCUGCAGGUAUGU